rnacentral:rRNA from 1 species
CACGUAGGGGGCAAGCGUUGUCCGGAUUUAUUGGGCGUAAAGAGCUCGUAGGCGGUUCGCUAAGUCGGGUGUGAAACCUCCAGGCUCAACCUGGAGACGCCACCUGAUACUGGUGUGACUCGAGUCCGGUAGGGGAGCGUGGAAUUCCUGGUGUAGCGGUGAAAUGCGCAGAUAUCAGGAGGAACACCAGCGGCGAAGGCGGCGCUCUGGGCCGGAACUGACGCUGAGGAGCGAAAGCUGGGGGAGCAAACGGG